AGACCUUUAGUUUGAACCCCGAAACCAGGUGAGCUACCCCGAGACAGCCUAUAUUGAUUUAGGGCUAACCCGUCUCUGUGGCAAAAGAGUGGGAAGAGCUCCGGGUAGAAGUGACAGACCUACCGAACCUGGUGAUAGCUGGUUGCCUGAGAAGUGGAUAGAAGUUCAGCCUCGCACACCCCAAGCCAGAGAAUACACCGCUAAGGCACUCAGGGAAAUGUGGGAGAGUUAGUUAAAGGGGGUACAGCCCCUUUAACAAAGGAUACAACCUUUGCAGGAGGAUAAAGAUCAUAAUAUAUAAAACAUGCUGCUCUAGUGGGCCUAAAGGCAGCCACCUAAACAGAAAGCGUUAAAGCUCAGGCAGAAAGAAGUUUAUUAUACCGAUAAAAAAUCUUACUCCCCUAAUUAUAUCAGCCCAACCCAUGCCAACAUGGAAGAGAUUAUGCUAAAAUGAGUAACAAGAAGACCUGCUCUUCUCCCAGCACAAGUGUAAGCCAGAUCGGACUAACCACUGGAACUUAACGAACCCAACCCAAGAGGGUAGUGUGAAUAGUACAGACCCCAAGAAGAACUCACAACUAAACAAUCGUUAACCCCACACUGGAGUGCUAUUAUAAAGGAAAGACUAAAAGAGGGGGAAGGAACUCGGCAAACACAAGCCUCGCCUGUUUACCAAAAACAUCGCCUCCUGCAACUAUAUUGAGUAUAGGAGGUCCAGCCUGCCCAGUGACUACGGGUUCAACGGCCGCGGUAUUUUGACCGUGCAAAGGUAGCGCAAUCACUUGUCUCUUAAAUAGAGACCUGUAUGAAUGGCUAGACGAGGGCUUAACUGUCUCCCCCCUCCAGUCAGUGAAAUUGAUCUAUCCGUGCAGAAGCGGGUAUAAUUAUACAAGACGAGAAGACCCUUUGGAGCUUAAGGUACAAAAUCCAACCACGUUAAACGACCCCCUAAAGGGCAAGAACUUAGUGGCCAAUGAAGUUUUACCUUCGGUUGGGGCGACCACGGAGGAGAAAAAAGCCUCCGAGUGGACUGGGUUAAAACCCAAAGCUAAGAGAUACAUCUCUAAGCCGCAGAACAUCUGACCAAAAGUGAUCCGGCUAAAAAGCCGAUCAACGAACCAAGUUACCCUAGGGAUAACAGCGCAAUCCUCUCCCAGAGUCCAUAUCGACGAGGGGGUUUACGACCUCGAUGUUGGAUCAGGACAUCCUAAUGGUGCAGCCGCUAUUAAGGGU
rnacentral:rRNA from 1 species